ACGCUCGGGUAAUCGCUGUGCGCUUUAGCGUGCAGAGGAAAGUCCAUGCUCGCACAGUCUGCGAUGACUGUAGUGAUCGUGCUUGACGAAUUCAUAAGUCAAGGCAGCCUUCUGGCUGACGGCAGGGAAACCACCUAAGUCCUUUUUGGAUAUGGUGCAGUACCCUUGAAAGUGCCACAGUGACGAAGUCUGAUUCAGAAAUGAUCAGAGUGGAACGCGGUAAACCCCACGAGCGAGAAACCCAAAAUAUGGUAGGGGCAUCCCUUCGAAGGAAUUGAACGGAGAAGGGGGCAGAUGAGUUUUUCUCGUCUGGAGACAGAUGGUUACCACCGGAGUACGAGGGCUCACGCCCGCUGGCAGUACAAAGGAACAGAACAUGGCUUACAGAG
rnacentral:RNase_P_RNA from 1 species